GUUAGGAUCUACGGCCAUGAACAAGCCUGAUCCCAUCCGAUCUCGGAAGCUAAGCAGGGUCAGGCCUGGUUAGUACUUGGAUGAAAGACCACCUAGGAAGACCAGGUGCUAUAGGCA
rnacentral:rRNA from 1 species